rnacentral:lncRNA from 1 species
GUAAUAACAUGACUAUAUACAGGAAGUACCAGUACUGAGUCGAUGAGCAGGGGUACGAGGUAAUAACAUGGCUAUAUACAGGGAGUACCAGUACUGAGUCGAUGAGCAGGGGUACGAGGUAAUAACAUGACCAUAUACAGGGAGUACCAGUACUGAGUCAAUGUUCAGGGGUACGAGGUAAUAACAUGACUAUAUACAGGGAGUACCAGUACUGAGUCAAUGUUCAGGGAUACGAGGUAAUAACAUGGCUAUAUACAGGGAGUACCAGUACUGAGUCAAUGUUCAGGGGUACGAGGUAAUAACAUGGCUAUAUACAGGGAGUACCAGUACUGAGUCGAUGAGCAGGGGUACGAGGUAAUAACAUGGCUAUAUACAGGGAGUACCAGUACUGAGUCAAUGUUCAGGGAUACGAGGUAAUAACAUGGCUAUAUACAGGGAGUACCAGUACUGAGUCGAUGAGCAGGGGUACGAGGUAAUAACAUGGCUAUAUACAGGGAGUACCAGUACUGAGUCGAUGAGCAGGGGUUCGAAGUAAUAACAUGGCUAUAUACAGGGAGUACCAGUACUGAGUCGAUAUAGGUAGGGGUAGGGGUAAAGUGACUAGACAACAGGAUAGAUAAUAGACAGUAGCAGCAGUAUACUGUAGGUAGGGUUAGUGACUAGACAACAGGAUAGAUAAUAGACAGUAACAGCAGUAUACUGUAGGUAGGGGUAAAGUGACUAGACAACAGGAUAGAUAAUAGACAGUAGCAGCAGUAUACUGUAGGUAGGGUUAGUGACUAGACAACAGGAUAGAUAAUAGACAGUAACAGCAGUAUACUGUAGGUAGGGGUAAAGUGACUAGACAACAGGAUAGAUAAUAGACAGUAGCAGCAGUAUACUGUAGGUAGGGUUAGUGACUAGACAACAGGAUAGAUAAUAGACAGUAACAGCAGUAUACAGUAGGUAGGGGUAAAGUGAC